CACGGAGGGUGCAAGCGUUGUCCGGAAUCACUGGGCGUAAAGGGCGCGUAGGCGGCUCAUGAAGGCUGUGGUGAAAGUCCGGGGCUCAACCUCGGAUCGGCCGUGGCGACUCGUGGGCUGGAGCACUGUAGAGGCGGGUGGAAUUCCGGGUGUAGCGGUGGAAUGCGUAGAGAUGUGGAGGAACACCGAUGGCGAAGGCAGCCCCCUGGGCUAAGAUUGACGCUCAGGCACGAAAGCGUGGGGAGCAAACAGG
rnacentral:rRNA from 1 species